GAUGAACGCUGGCGGCGUGCUUAACACAUGCAAGUCGAACGAUGAAGCCCAGCUUGCUGGGUGGAUUAGUGGCGAACGGGUGAGUAACACGUGAGUAACCUGCCCUUAACUCUGGGAUAAGCCUGGGAAACUGGGUCUAAUACCGGAUAGGAGCGUCCACCGCAUGGUGGGUGUUGGAAAGAUUUAUCGGUUUUGGAUGGACUCGCGGCCUAUCAGCUUGUUGGUGAGGUAAUGGCUCACCAAGGCGACGACGGGUAGCCGGCCUGAGAGGGUGACCGGCCACACUGGGACUGAGACACGGCACAGACUCCUACGGGACGCAGCAGUGGGGAAUAUUGCACAAUGGGCGAAAGCCUGAUGCAGCGACGCCGCGUGAGGGAUGACGGCCUUCGGGUUGUAAACCUCUUUCAGUAGGGAAGAAGCGAAAGUGACGGUACCUGCAGAAGAAGCACCGGCUAACUACGUG
rnacentral:rRNA from 1 species